UACGUAGGUGGCAAGCGUUGUCCGGAUUUACUGGGCGUAAAGAGCGCGCAGGCGGCUGGUCAAGUCCGAUGUGAAAUCUCCCGGCUCAACUGGGAAACUGCAUCGGAAACUGAUCGGCUUGAAGGUGGGAGAGGGUAGUGGAAUUCCCGGUGUAGUGGUGAAAUGCGCAGAUAUCAGGAGGAACACCGGUGGCGAAGGCGGGUCUCUGGGCCGAUACUGACGCUGAGGAGCGAAAGCGUGGGGAGCGAACAGG
rnacentral:rRNA from 1 species